GGGAAUGUAGCUCAGCAGUGCAGUGCCUGCCUGGCAAAUGGGCGGCCCUGAGUUCAAUUCUCAGCACACACA
rnacentral:tRNA from 1 species